UGGAGUGAAGCCUGAAGGACUUUAUGCGAAUGAAACUAUUAUUAAGUAUUGGAGGCAGAACAGAACCAAGUAUCCAUGACCUCUAACUGAAAAUGAGAAGAGAGAAAAUAGGAGGAAGUUGCAGGAGGAGAGGGAGUUAGAGAAACAAAGGUUGAGGGAGGAGACAGAUCGCAUAGGUUUUGUGGUUGGUCUGAAUGCGAAAUACCCUAAGGGUUCAUGGGAAGAAUGUUUGCAGUAGGUUAGGGAAAGGAAGAGAACGAUUGAAAUGGAAGAGUUAUAAGAAAAAGCGAAAGAGGCACAAAUGGAGGUGAUGAAGGCACUUGUUGCCGAUUUACCACUUGAUAAGGUUAAUGUGGAUAAAAAAGGUAAGAGAGUUGUUAUUGCGGGGGAUGAUGAUGAUGAUGAGUUACUAUGUGAAGGUGACUCCGAGUAGAUGAACGUGUUGAUUGAGUUGAAUCAUGUUUCUGUUUAGUUGUCAAAACUAUGUUCAUUUGUGAAACAACUAUGUUUAUUGUGAGAAUUAUGAUUAUUUGUGAAAAUUAUGUUUCAUUUGUGAGAGAAUUAUGUUUAUUGUGAGAAUUAUGAUUAUUUGUUGACAAAACAUGUAAUAUGCUAUUUGCAUUGAGUGUGCGUGCGUGAUCGUGGUCAAUAUUUGCAUUUUGAUAGUACAUUAUUUGCA
rnacentral:lncRNA from 1 species